GGGGACCCGCCGAAGGACGCAAACGAGACCGUUUUGUGUGACGAACGUCUGAUAUUCUUCUUCGCGAAUGCGAUAAAGUACAACUUUUAACAAUGGAUCUCUUGGCUCCGGCAUCGAUGAAGAACGCAGCGAAAUGCGAUAACUAGUGUGAAUUGCAGAUUUCAGUGAAUCAUCGAGUCUUUGAACGCACAUUGCGCCCCCUGGUAUUCCUAGGGGCAUGCCUAUUCGAGCGUCGUUUACUCCCUCAAGCGCAAGCUUGGUGUUGGGGAUCGCCCCUCCCUUCGCGGGAGGCGGCGGCCCUUGAAUCCAUCGGCGGUGCCGGUGCGGCCUGGAGCGCAGCAGCGAUGCAGCUCGUGGGGUCCGCUCGACGCCUGCCGUGCAAGCGUGGCUUCUCUCGCAGAACCACAUUCCAAACGUCGACCUCGAAUUAGGUAGGGAUACCCGCUGAACUUAAGCAUAUCAAUA
rnacentral:rRNA from 1 species